AAUCCUCUCCACCGCCCGAGAGCUUCCCUCCCUGCGGAGGCGGCGAUCGGCGGUGGGGUCGUGGUGGACGCACACGCCCCGAGAAACGCGUGCGCGCCGCUGGAAUCACCGGUCCGCGGGCCAGCAGGGCGCAGACCCGGCGUAGUGAGUACCAUUCUCGCCGGCGACUCGCGCCCCUCAAAAAGCGUCCCGGGACCUCUAAGCGCUCCGGCGUCGGACCCCCAAAGU
rnacentral:misc_RNA from 1 species